GAUGAACGCUGGCGGCGUGCCUAAUACAUGCAAGUCGAGCGAACGGACGAGAAGCUUGCUUCUCUGAUGUUAGCGGCGGACGGGUGAGUAACACGUGGAUAACCUACCUAUAGAACGGGGUAAACUUGGGGAACCGGAGCCAACACCGGAAGAAAUUUUGAACCGGCAGGGUUAAAAGUGAAAGACGGGCCUGGCGUCAACUAAAGAUGGAACCGCGCUGCAAUACCUAGUUGGCAAGGGAACGGCUUACCAAGGCAACGAUGCAUAGCCGACCUGAGAGGGUGAUCGGCCACACUGGAACUGAGACACGGUCCAGACUCCUACGGGAGGCAGCAGUAGGGAAUCUUCCGCAAUGGGCGAAAGCCUGACGGAGCAACGCCGCGUGAGUGAUGAAGGUCUUCGGAUCGUAAAACUCUGUUAUUAGGGAAGAACAUAUGUGUAAGUAACUGUGCACAUCUUGACGGUACCUAAUCAGAAAGCCACGGCUAACUACGUG
rnacentral:rRNA from 1 species